AUACGGAGGGUGCAAGCGUUGUUCGGAAUUAUUGGGCGUAAAGCGCGUGUAGGCGGCUUGGUAAGUCAGGUGUGAAAGCCCUUAGCUCAACUAAGGAAAGUCAUCUGAAACUGCCAGGCUUGAGUACGGGAGAGGAGAGUGGAAUUCCCGGUGUAGAGGUGAAAUUCGUAGAUAUCGGGAGGAACACCCGUGGCGAAGGCGACUCUCUGGACCGACACUGACGCUGAGACGCGAAAGCGUGGGGAGCAAACAGGAUUAGAAACCCCGGUAGUCC
rnacentral:rRNA from 1 species